rnacentral:rRNA from 1 species
UACGUAGGGGGCUAGCGUUAUCCGGAAUUACUGGGCGUAAAGGGUGCGUAGGUGGUUUCUUAAGUCAGAGGUGAAAGGCUACGGCUCAACCGUAGUAAGCCUUUGAAACUGAGAAACUUGAGUGCAGGAGAGGAGAGUAGAAUUCCUAGUGUAGCGGUGAAAUGCGUAGAUAUUAGGAGGAAUACCAGUUGCGAAGGCGGCUCUCUGGACUGUAAUUGACACUGAGGCACGAAAGCGUGGGGAGCAAACAGG